UGCGCCCAUAGCUCAACUGGAUAGAGUGUUUGACUACGGAUCAAAAGGUUAGGGGUUCGAAUCCUCUUGGGCGCGU
rnacentral:tRNA from 1 species